AGAGUUUGAUCAUGGCUCAGGAUGAACGCUAGCGGCAGGCUUAAUACAUGCAAGUCGAGGGGCAGCAUGGUUGUAGCAAUACAACUGAUGGCGACCGGCAAACGGGUGCGGAACACGUACGCAACCUACCCAAAACUGGGGGAUAGCCCGGGGAAACCCGGAUUAAUACCUCGUAACAUUAUGGAGUGGCAUCACUUUAUAAUUAUAGCCCCGGCGGUUUUGGAUGGGCGUGCGCCUGAUUAGGUAGUUGGUGAGGGUAACGGCCCACCAAGCCUGCGAUCAGUAACUGGUGUGAGAGCACGACCAGUCACACGGGCACUGAGACACGGGCCCGACUCCUACGGGAGGCAGC
rnacentral:rRNA from 1 species